GACAGAGGGUGCAAACGUUGUUCGGAAUUACUGGGCGUAAAGCGAGUGUAGGCGGUUUGGUAAGUCGGAUGUGAAAGCCCCGGGCUCAACCCGGGAAGUGCACUCGAUACUGCCAAGCUAGAGUAUCGGAGAGGUUGGUGGAAUUCUCGGUGUAGAGGUGAAAUUCGUAGAUAUCAGGAGGAACACCUGUGGUGUAGACAGCUUUCUGGACCAUUGCUGACGCUGAGACACGAAAGCGUGGGUAGCAAACAGG
rnacentral:rRNA from 1 species